GGUUAAAUAUUUCAUUCAUUUCUAUUUUUAAAAAUUGAUAUAGUUGACGAAAUAACUAGACAGUUAUACGUGGCAUGCCACAUAUACCUCACGCUAACGUGCAGGAGCCCAUUUUUAACACUAGAAAUGGAUAAAGUUUUUAACA
rfam:Gossypium arboreum cultivar AKA8401 contig_5214_3, whole genome shotgun sequence.